rnacentral:rRNA from 1 species
CAAUAGCGUAUAUUUAAGUUGCUGCAGUUAAAAAGCUCGUAGUUGGAUUUCGGGUGGGAAUGGCCGGUCCGCCGUUUCGGUGUGCACUUGCUACGCCCACCUUGCUGCCGGGGACGUGCUCUUGAGUUCACGCUCGGGGCACGGAGUCGGCGAGGUUACUUUGAGUAAAUUAGAGUGCUCAAAGCAGGCCUACGCUCUGAAUACAUUAGCAUGGAAUAACACGAUAGGACUCUGGCCUAUCUUGUUGGUCUGUAGGACCGGAGUAAUGAUUAAGAGGGACAGUCGGGGGCAUUCGUAUUUCAUUGUCAGAGGUGAAAUUCUUGGAUUUAUGAAAGACGAACUACUGCGAAAGCAUUUGCCAAGGAUGUUUUCAUUAA